rnacentral:rRNA from 1 species
UACGUAGGGGGCAAGCGUUGUCCGGAUUUAUUGGGCGUAAAGAGCGUGUAGGCGGUUUGGUAGGUCCGCUGUGAAAACUCGAGGCUCAACCUCGAGACGCCGGUGGAAACCAUCAGGCUAGAGUCCGGAAGAGGAGAGUGGAAUUCCUGGUGUAGCGGUGAAAUGCGCAGAUAUCAGGAAGAACACCCGUGGCUAAGGCGGCUCUCUAGUACGGUACUGACGCUGAGACGCGAAAGCGUGGGGAGCGAACAGU